UACGUAGGGUGCGAGCGUUUAAUCGGAAUUACUGGGCGUAAAGCGUGCGCAGGCGGUUCGUUGUGUCGGCGGUGAAAGCCCCGGGCUUAACCUGGGAAUGGCCGUCGAAACUGGCGAACUGGAGUGUGGCAGAGGGGGGUGGAAUUCCGCGUGUAGCAGUGAAAUGCGUAGAGAUGCGGAGGAACACCGAUGGCGAAGGCAGCCCCCUGGGCUGACACUGACGCUCAGGCACGAAAGCGUGGGGAGCAAACAGG
rnacentral:rRNA from 1 species